AGCACCUUCGGGUGUGACUGCGUACCUUUUGUAUAAUGGGUCAGCGACUUAUAUUCUGUAGCAAGGUUAACCGUAUAGGGGAGCCGCAGGGAAACCGAGUCUUAACUGGGCGUUAAGUUGCAGGGUAUAGACCCGAAACCCGGUGAUCUAGCCAUGGGCAGGUUGAAGGUUGGGUAACACUAACUGGAGGACCGAACCGACUAAUGUUGAAAAAUUAGCGGAUGACUUGUGGCUGGGGGUGAAAGGCCAAUCAAACCGGGAGAUAGCUGGUUCUCCCCGAAAGCUAUUUAGGUAGCGCCUCGUGAACUCAUCUUCGGGGGUAGAGCACUGUUUCGGCUAGGGGGUCAUCCCGACUUACCAACCCGAUGCAAACUACGAAUACCGAAGAAUGUUAUCACGGGAGACACACGGCGGGUGCUAACGUCCGUCGUGAAGAGGGAAACAACCCAGACCGCCAGCUAAGGUCCCAAAGUCAUGGUUAAGUGGGAAACGAUGUGGGAAGGCACAGACAGCCAGGAUGUUGGCUUAGAAGCAGCCAUCAUUUAAAGAAAGCGUAAUAGCUCACUGGUCGAGUCGGCCUGCGCGGAAGAUGUAACGGGGCUAAACCAUGCACCGAAGCUGCGGCAGCGACACUAUGUGUUGUUGGGUAGGGGAGCGUUCUGUAAGCCUGCGAAGGUGUGCUGUGAGGCAUGCUGGAGGUAUCAGAAGUGCGAAUGCUGACAUAAGUAACGAUAAAGCGGGUGAAAAGCCCGCUCGCCGGAAGACCAAGGGUUCCUGUCCAACGUUAAUCGGGGCAGGGUGAGUCGACCCCUAAGGCGAGGCCGAAAGGCGUAGUCGAUGGGAAACAGGUUAAUAUUCCUGUACUUGGUGUUACUGCGAAGGGGGGACGGAGAAGGCUAUGUUAGCCGGGCGACGGUUGUCCCGGUUUAAGCAUGUAGGCUGGUUAUCCAGGCAAAUCCGGAUAAUCAAGGCUGAGGUGUGAUGACGAGGCACUACGGUGCUGAAGUAACAAAUGCCCUGCUUCCAGGAAAAGCCUCUAAGCAUCAGGUAACAUCAAAUCGUACCCCAAACCGACACAGGUGGUCAGGUAGAGAAUACCAAGGCGCUUGAGAGAACUCGGGUGAAGGAACUAGGCAAAAUGGUGCCGUAACUUCGGGAGAAGGCACGCUGGUGUGUAGGUGAAGCCCCUGCGGGUGGAGCUGAGACCAGUCGAAGAUACCAGCUGGCUGCAACUGUUUAUUAAAAACACAGCACUGUGCAAACACGAAAGUGGACGUAAACGGUGUGACGCCUGCCCGGUGCCGGAAGGUUAAUUGAUGGGGUUAUCCGUAAGGAGAAGCUCUUGAUCGAAGCCCCGGUAAACGGCGGCCGUAACUAUAACGGUCCUAAGGUAGCGAAAUUCCUUGUCGGGUAAGUUCCGACCUGCACGAAUGGCGUAAUGAUGGCCAGGCUGUCUCCACCCGAGACUCAGUGAAAUUGAACUCGCUGUGAAGAUGCAGUGUACCCGCGGCAAGACGGAAAGACCCCGUGAACCUUUACUAUAGCUUGACACUGAACAUUGAGCCUUGAUGUGUAGGAUAGGUGGGAGGCUUUGAAGCGUGGACGCCAGUCUGCGUGGAGCCAACCUUGAAAUACCACCCUUUAAUGUUUGAUGUUCUAACGUUGGCCCCUGACCGGGGUUGCGGACAGUGUCUGGUGGGUAGUUUGACUGGGGCGGUCUCCUCCCAAAGCGUAACGGAGGAGCACGAAGGUUAGCUAAUCCUGGUCGGACAUCAGGAGGUUAGUGUAAUGGCAUAAGCUAGCUUGACUGCGAGCGUGACGGCGCGAGCAGGUGCGAAAGCAGGUCAUAGUGAUCCGGUGGUUCUGAAUGGAAGGGCCAUCGCUCAACGGAUAAAAGGUACUCCGGG
rnacentral:rRNA from 1 species